AGUGAACGCUGGCGGCGUGCUUAACACAUGCAAGUCGAACGAGAACGGAUUAUAGCUUGCUAUAAUUGUCAGCUAAGUGGCGCACGGGUGAGUAAUGUAUAGGUAAUAUGCCUCUUACUAAGGGAUAACAAUUGGAAACGAUUGCUAAUACCUUAUACUCCUUAUUAACCUAAGUUAAUAAGGGAAAGAUUUAUUGGUAAGAGAUUAGCCUGUAUUGUAUCAGUUAGUUGGUGGGGUAAUGGCCUACCAAGACUAUGACACAUAACUGGUUUGAGAGGAUGAUCAGUCACACUGGAACUGAGACACGGUCCAGACUCCUACGGGAGGCAGCAGUGGGGAAUAUUGCACAAUGGACGAAAGUCUGAUGCAGCAACGCCGCGUGGAGGAUGACACAUUUCGGUGCGUAAACUCCUUUUAUAUGAGAAGAUAAUGACGGUAUUAUAUGAAUAAGCACCGGCUAACUCCGUGCCAGCAGCCGCGGUAAAG
rnacentral:rRNA from 1 species